GUGCUGUCAUUUUUUUAAUGUCUCACAUAUAUUCCAAGCAAUAUGCAUUAGCAAACAAAUAUCCACGAAUAGUAUCAUCUCAUUUUCUACUAAUAACCCUUUAUUUGGUAUCUUAAAAAAGAUUUUGUAAGACACAAAACUUUCCAUUAAAAAGUUGUUUAUUUAAAAAUACCUUCUCCCAAUUCUGAUUCCAUAUCAAAUUAAAUCAAGAAGUGAUGUUACAGCAAUAACUCAUCAAAGUCAUGAGUAGGGAGGAUGGCAAUGACCCCAUUAGCUCAUUAGUAUAAUCUAGUAAGUGAAAUAGAAAUUCAACUCAUUUACUUCUUCACAAAAGGCAAACAUAAUUGAUAUACUUCAUAUCAAAAAACUAGUUUAUAAAGCUUGUCUUCAUAUUUCAGUUUAAGGUUCAACUGAUAUAAAAUGCCUUAAAAGAACAUCCAAGCAAUGCUUUGGAUUUUCUUUCUUUGCAAAAUUCAAGGAAAACAUGAUUGGUUGAAGUUUCUUCACUGCUGGCGAAUUAGUUAAGAGCUACCUGAGAUUCCUUCGCACUUCCACUCUUCCACUCUUUGAGUUUCCAGUGAUUAAAAUAUGCCAGAGACAUAAUUUAGAGAGCGCUAGAAAUGCCACACAGAUCUCAUCACUUAAAAAAGAGUUUCUGGCCAGGCACGGUGGCUCAUGUUUUGAAGUUUUUACAGAAUGUACAGAAUGUAAUCAUUAAAAAAUGACUUUCAGAAACAUAUACAUUCAAAGAAAACCUUUUAGUAUUCUAAGCAUUGAAUACUUUGGGGGAAGAACUGGUUUCUUUUUUGGAUUGUUUAAGAAGUCAGUCUUUUCUCAACAGUUUCUUGAUAAGCAAUAAAUCUUCGCAAAUUCAUUUUCACAUUGUCAAGAACACACAGCUGAUCUGUGCUAUAGUUACCUCUCCCUUC
rnacentral:lncRNA from 1 species